UGGGGAAUAUUGCACAAUGGGCGCAAGCCUGAUGCAGCCAUGCCGCGUGUAUGAAGAAGGCCUUCGGGUUGUAAAGUACUUUCAGCGGGGAGGAAGGGAGUAAAGUUAAUACCUUUGCUCAUUGACGUUACCCGCAGAAGAAGCUCCGGCUAAAUACGUGCCAGCAGCCGCGGUAAUACGUAUGGAGCGAGCGUUGUCCGGAAUUAUUGGGCGUAAAGGGUGCGCAGGCGGCUUUACAAGUUGGAUGUGAAAUAUUGUGGCUCAACCACAAACGUGCAUCCAAAAGUGCAAAGGUUGAGUUAAGGAGAGGUAAGUGGAAUUCCUGGUGUAGCGGUGGAAUGCGUAGAUAUCAGGAGGAAUACCGGUGGCGAAGGCGACUUACUGGACUUAAACUGACGCUCAGGCACGAAAGCGUGGGGAGCAAACAGG
rnacentral:rRNA from 1 species